GAUGAAGAACGCAGCGAAAUGCGAUAAGUAAUGUGAAUUGCAGAAUUCAGUGAAUCAUCGAAUCUUUGAACGCACCUUGCGCCCUUUGGCUAUUCCGAAGGGCAUGCCUGUUUGAGUAUCAUGAACACCUCAACUCUCGUGGCUUGCCAUGAUGAGCUUGGACUUUGGGGGUUUUGCUGGCCUACGACCGGCUCCUCUCAAAUGAAUUAGCUUGCCAGUGUUUGGUGGCAUCACAGGUGUGAUAAAUAUCUACGCUUGUGGUUUUCCACCAGGUAACCUUCAGUGGAUGGAGGUUCGCUGGGGCUCAUAAACGUCUCUCCUCAGUGAGGACAGCUCUUUGAACGUUUGAUCUCAAAUCAGGUAGGACUACCCGCUGAACUUAAGCAUAUCAAUAAGCGGAGGA
rnacentral:misc_RNA from 1 species